rnacentral:rRNA from 1 species
AUUGAACGCUGGCGGCAUGCUUUACACAUGCAAGUCGAACGGUAACAGGGUGCUUGCACCGCUGACGAGUGGCGAACGGGUGAGUAAUGCGUCGGAACGUGCCGAGUAGUGGGGGAUAACGCAGCGAAAGUUGUGCUAAUACCGCAUACGUACUGAGGUAGAAAGUGGGGGACCUUCGGGCCUCACGCUAUUUGAGCGGCCGACGUCUGAUUAGCUAGUAGGUGAGGUAAAGGCUCACCUAGGCGACGAUCAGUAGCGGGUCUGAGAGGAUGAUCCGCCACACUGGGACUGAGACACGGCCCAGACUCCUACGGGAGGCAGCAGUGGGGAAUUUUGGACAAUGGGCGAAAGCCUGAUCCAGCCAUGCCGCGUGUCUGAAGAAGGCCUUCGGGUUGUAAAGGACUUUUGUCGGGGAGGAAAUCCCCAGCGUUAAUACCGCUGGGGGAUGACAGUACCUGAAGAACAAGCACCGGCUAACUACGUGCCAGCCGCCGCCGUAAGAC